rnacentral:rRNA from 1 species
UGCAGAGGUCCCGAGCGUUGUUCGGAUUCACUGGGCGUAAAGGGUGCGUAGGUGGUGAGGUAAGUCGGAUGUGAAAUCUCCGGGCUCAACCCGGAAAUGGCAUUGGAAACUACCUUGCUAGAGGGUUUGAGGGGGGACUGGAAUACUUGGUGUAGCAGUGAAAUGCGUAGAUAUCAAGUGGAACACCAGUGGCGAAGGCGAGUCCCUGGAAAACUCCUGACACUGAGGCACGAAAGCUAGGGGAGCAAACAGG